CUGGAAUCUAUAGUAUGCUUGCACCUGAAAAAACGAACCGCGUAAAGGAUGAAUAAAAGCAUGGACAUAUAUACAUGCGCUGCCAAUCCAUGAGAAGUAGCCGCGGAUCCAACGGCUGAUAAACCUAUAUUCAAGUUUCAAUCAAUAACUCCUCCGAAAUAGACACUGCGACUGAGCUGGACUGCUCAGAUCUCAUAUAGU
rnacentral:misc_RNA from 1 species